rnacentral:rRNA from 1 species
GACGAACGCUGGCGGCGUGCUUAACACAUGCAAGUCGAACGGAAAGGCCCUGCUUGCAGGGUACUCGAGUGGCGAACGGGUGAGUAACACGUGGGUGAUCUGCCCUGCACUUCGGGAUAAGCCUGGGUAACUGGGUCUAAUACCGGAUAGAAGCCAUUUUUCGUGUGGUGGUUGGAAAGUUUUUUCGGUGUAGGAUGAGCUCGCGGCCUAUCAGCUUGUUGGUGGGGUAAGGGCCUACCAAGGCGGCGACGGGUAGCCGGCCUGAGAGGGUGGACGGCCACAGUGGGACUGAGACACGGACCCGACUCCUACGGGAGGGAGCAGUGGGGAAGAGUGAACAAUGGGCGCAAGCCUGAUGCAGCGACGCCGAGGGGGGGAUGACGGCCUUCGGGUUGUAAUCUUCUUUCGCUAGGGACGAAGCUGUUUGUGACGGUACCGAGAUAAGAAGCACCGGCUAACUACGUG